GAUUGAACGCUGGCGGCAGGCUUAACACAUGCAAGUCGAACGGUAACAGGAGAAAGCUUGCUUUCUUGCUGACGAGUGGCGGACGGGUGAGUAAUGCUUGGGAAUCUGGCUUAUGGAGGGGGAUAACGACGGGAAACUGUCGCUAAUACCGCGUAGURUCGAGAGAUGAAAGUGCGGGACCGCAAGGCCGCAUGCCAUAGGAUGAGCCCAAGUGGGAUUAGGUAGUUGGUGGGGUAAAGGCCUACCAAGCCGACGAUCUCUAGCUGGUCUGAGAGGAUGACCAGCCACACCGGGACUGAGACACGGCCCGGACUCCUACGGGAGGCAGCAGUGGGGAAUAUUGCGCAAUGGGGGCAACCCUGACGCAGCCAUGCCGCGUGAAUGAAGAAGGCCUUCGGGUUGUAAAGUUCUUUCGGUAUUGAGGAAGGUUGUUGUGUUAAUAGCACGACAAAUUGACGUUAAAUACAGAAGAAGCACCGGCUAACUCCGU
rnacentral:rRNA from 1 species